CCCUUAGAUGUCCUGGGCCGCACGCGCGUUACACUGAUGCAUUCAACGAGCUUAUAACCUUGGCCGAGAGGCCUGGGCAAUCUUGUUAACGUGCAUCGUGAUAGGGAUAGAUUAUUGAAAUUAUUAAUCUUGAACGAGGAAUUCCUAGUAAACGCAGAUCAUCAAUCUGCAUUGAUUACGUCCCUGCCCUUUGUACACACCGCCCGUCGCUCCUACCGAUUGAAUGGUCCGGUGAAGUGUUCGGAUCGAGGCGACAUGGGCGGUUCGCUGCCUGUGACGUUGCGAGAAGUCCACUGAACCUUAUCAUUUAGAGGAAGGAGAAGUCGUAACA
rnacentral:rRNA from 1 species